rnacentral:lncRNA from 1 species
CCUGACUCUCUUUUUGGACCCAGCACACCUGCACCCAGGGGAAAUAAACAGCUUUAUUGCUCACAGAAAGCCUGUUUGGUGGUCUCUUCACACAGACACGAGUGAAAUUUGGUGCUGUGACUUGGAUCGGGGGACCUCCCUUGGGACAUCAAUCCCCUGUCCUCCUGUUCUUUGCUCCGUGAGAAAGAUCCACCUACAACCUCAGGUCCUCAGACUGACCAGCCCAAGAAACGUCUCACCAAUUUCAAGUAUGAUGUUUUGUGAGCAGUUGUAUGAACCCAAAAUGGAGUCAAGAGCUGGACUUAGACAGAUUGGAGCAUAAGAUCACAACUGCUAUGAAGACAUCAAUUAUGGCCAGACAUCCUUUACUAAACGGCAUCCCUCUGACCCUGCACAAUUUUUCAAAUUGUAACAGAACACAAGUCUUCCAAUGCCAGUUUUUUGUUUUUGUAUUUUUCAGAAUAGAAAACAAUGUACUGAGGAAAACAGAAAGUGAAGAAAGUAUAAGGGUCAUCCUAUUGAUAGAUGCAGGAGGCAGAUAAGCGAAGGUCCCCGGAGAAUCUCCGAUCCGCCCAAGUGUUUACAUCAGAUGCUUUUGUGCGGAUAAGGGAACCUGCCUAGGACCUUGUUUCUGAGCGCCCACAAAGGACUGGCGGCCCGCCUGCGCGCUGGGAUAGUUGGUGGAGCCACGGGGAAUUCUCACCUAGUAUAGCAGGGAGGAGCCUGGACUCUUCAGCUGUGUGUGGUAGCCUGGUAUUCAAUCUGGGAGGUGGGAGCCUGUUGGUAGGACCCCUUUCUGUUGGCUGAGAGCUUUCUUAACA